UGCAAGUCGAACGAAGUCUUCGGACUUAGUGGCGCACGGGUGAGUAACACGUGGGAAUAUACCUCUCAGUGGGGGAUAACGUCGGGAAACUGACGCUAAUACCGCAUACGCCCUUCGGGGGAAAGAUUUAUCGCUGAGAGAUUAGCCCGCGUCCGAUUAGCUAGUUGGUAAGGUAAUGGCUUACCAAGGCAACGAUCGGUAGCUGGUCUGAGAGGAUGAUCAGCCACACUGGGACUGAGACACGGCCCAGACUCCUACGGGAGGCAGCAGUGGGGAAUAUUGGACAAUGGGCGAAAGCCUGAUCCAGCCAUGCCGCGUGAGUGAUGAAGGCCUUAGGGUUGUAAAGCUCUUUCGACGGGGACGAUGAUGACGGUACCCGUAGAAGAAGCCCCGGCUAACUUCGUGCCAGCAGCCGCGGUAAUACGAAGGGGGCUAGCGUUGUUCGGAAUUACUGGGCGUAAAGCGCACGCAGGCGGUGAUCAUAGUCAGAAGUGAAAGCCCUGGGCUCAACCCGGGAAUUGCUUUUGAUACUGGGUCACUAGAAUCACGGAGAGGGUAGUGGAAUUCCGAGUGUAGAGGUGAAAUUCGUAGAUAUUCGGAAGAACACCAGUGGCGAAGGCGACUACCUGGCCGUCGAUUGACGCUCAUGUGCGAAAGCGUGGGGAGCAAACAGGAUU
rnacentral:rRNA from 1 species